rnacentral:rRNA from 1 species
GACGAACGCUGGCGGCGUGCUUAACACAUGCAAGUCGAACGGAAAGGCCCUGCUUUUGUGGGGUGCUCGAGUGGCGAACGGGUGAGUAACACGUGAGUAACCUGCCCUUGACUUUGGGAUAACUUCAGGAAACUGGGGCUAAUACCGGAUAGGAGCUCCUGCUGCAUGGUGGGGGUUGGAAAGUUUCGGCGGUUGGGGAUGGACUCGCGGCUUAUCAGCUUGUUGGUGGGGUAGUGGCUUACCAAGGCUUUGACGGGUAGCCGGCCUGAGAGGGUGACCGGCAACAUUGGGACUGAGAUACGGCCCAGACUCCUACGGGAGGCAGUAGUGGGGAAUAUUGCACAAUGGGCGGAAGCCUGAUGCAGCAACGCCGCGUGCGGGAUGACGGCCUUCGGGUGGUAAACCGCUUUCGCCUGUGACGAAGCGUGAGUGACGGUAAUGGGUAAAGAAGCACCGGCUAACUACGUG